rnacentral:rRNA from 1 species
AGAGUUUGAUCCUGGCUCAGGAUGAACGCUGGCGGCGUGCCUAACACAUGCAAGUCGAACGUGAAAGUAUCUCUUAUGCCAUCGUGCGUGAGAGGUGCUGGAAAGUGGCGAACGGGUGAGUAACACGUAGGUGACCUGCCUCGAAGUGGGGGAUAACCAUUGGAAACGGUGGCUAAUACCGCAUGACUCGUGGUCUAUGGGAAUAGACGACGGGAAAGCUCCGGCGCUUCGAGAGGGGCCUGCGUCCGAUUAGCUAGUUGGUGAGGUAAAGGCUCACCAAGGCGAUGAUCGGUAGCUGGUCUGAGAGGAUGAUCAGCCACACUGGAACUGAAACACGGUCCAGACUCCUACGGGAGGCAGCAGUGGGGAAUCUUGCGCAAUGGACGAAAGUCUGACGCAGCCACGCCGCGUGAGUGAAGAAGGCCUUCGGGUUGUAAAGCUCUGUCGAGCGGGACGAAAAACGGUCAGGUGAAUAGCCUGAUCGUCUGACGGUACCGCUAAAGGAAGCACCGGCUAACUCCGUGCCAGCAGCCGCGGUAAUACGGAGGGUGCAAGCGUUGCUCGGAAUUAUUGGGCGUAAAGCGCGCGCAGGCGGUUCUUUAAGUCUGAUGUGAAAGCCCACGGCUCAACCGUGGAGGGUCAUUGGAAACUGGAGAACUUGAGUACAGAAGAGGAAAGCGGAAUUCCACGUGUAGCGGUGAAAUGCGUAGAGAUGUGGAGGAACACCAGUGGCGAAGGCGGCUUUCUGGUCUGUAACUGACGCUGAGGCGCGAAAGCGUGGGGAGCAAACAGGAUUAGAUACCCUGGUAGUCCACGCCGUAAACGAUGAGUGCUAAGUGUUAGGGGGUUUCCGCCCCUUAGUGCUGCAGCUAACGCAUUAAGCACUCCGCCUGGGGAGUACGGCCGCAAGGCUGAAACUUAAAGGAAUUGACGG